CGCUCCUUCCUCUGCAACCCUAUCCGCCGGUGCCUCGCCUCCGGGCCGCCGCUGCAGCCCCAAUCCCUACACCGCACCCCACUCCGACGAGGUGACCUCGGCGGUGCGGUUGACGCACUCGGGCGAGAUUUUGGUGCUCGGGGCGCAAGUUCCACAGGCUUCGGCGCCGGCUGUGGCCGGAGGAAGAGCCAUCGAGCGCCGGUCAAUUCUUUGGAAUUUAACCAUGGCUGAGAGGGUGCCAUGAUAGCUAGCAUCCACAGAUAGUCUCUGUCGACGUCUGAUGACAAACUCUGGUGAGUUCACCUGCCGAUGGGAUGUUUCUUCCGUCGCCUCCGGGAGGCCAGUGGCAGUUGCCAUAGACUCCCGGUUCUAUAGUUCCCUCCGAUCUACCGGAGGAGGAUCCUGCCGCAGCUUGGACCACGAUGGAUUGGAAGGUACCGGUGGGUUACUCAGAUCUGUCAAGAGAGAGAUGUGCAGGUUUCCACUGCUAGAUCGAAGAGGCUACACUUUGAUGUCCUCGGCAGAUGCCUAUGUCUGUUCGCUCGACAGGUGGGCUUAGCUGAAAAUAAGCCAUAAGUCAGCUCAGAUGGGGUGAUACAGGAUGACUGCUUUGGCUUGCAAGAUAUUCAGUUGGAGCAGGCAAGUGAGGUCCAAAAUGGUUGCCUGAGUCCCGAGGAGAUUGAUAUUUCACUUGGAGGCUAGGUACGAUUUUUAUAAAAUAGCACAAGGGCGAGAUCUGUGGUUCUCAAGAUAGUUUGAUAAGAUGAUGCCUUACAUAUAUGUUUUAUCGUUGUUCAGUUCAGCAAUGGCCAGCACCGGUAGGACUGGUGGUUCUGGAUUUGGAAGCGGCACUGGCAACUCGAAUUCGGGCAGCCCUGCUUUAGGUGGAACACAAAGUGCAGUCCAGAUGUUGAAUGCUAUUCAUGCGAUUCCUCUAAACGAUGAUCCGAAGUGGCCGCUAUGGAGGUAUGUGCAGAAAGUCGCCAAGACCGGUGGAGGGCAAGGCGUCAAUGCAAAAAUCAUAUGUAGGCUUUGUCCCGUGAUAUUACUGGGAGCUACUCAAGAGUGAUAAAACAUCUUUUGAAGUUGGGAAAUGGUGGAGUGAACAUUGUCCGGAAGUUACCAUUGAUGUUUUAAUUCAGCUCAAAGGUGAACAAGACAAGGCUGAUGCAAGUAGCCACAUGCCUAACAACAUUUUCCUACCGACUGAUAGGAAUGGGCGUGGGAGGAAGAGAAAGGCAUAAGCUAUUGAAGAAUGCUUCGAUGUCGAUUCUUGCAGAAAGCUGGAUGCUUUGAUUGCAAGGAUGUUCUAUACUGCAGGUCUGCCUUUCAAUCUUGCAAGAACCUGGCUAUGUCCAUCCAAGCUAGAACAAGAUCAGAACCAGCCUUCUUGUGCAAGAGAAGACACAUGUUGAAUGAUUGCUGCAGCCAAUCAAGUCAACAUUGAGCAACGAAGUUGUGAGUAUUGUGUCAGAUGGGUGGUCUGAUCUUCAAAGACAGCCUCUCUUAAAUUGUAUGGCUGUAACAGAAGAUAGGCCCAUGUUUUUAAGAGCAAUCAACACUGAGGGAGACAUAAAGAGCAAGGAGUACAUCUUUCAGAGGCUAUUAGAAACUAUUUAUUUUAUUGGAGCAGAGAAUGUUGUACAAGUGGUCACUCAUAAUGCAUCAAACUGCAGAGGGUGCGGGGCAGAUGAUGGAGCAAACGUACCCUCAUAUAUUCUGGACUCCAUACGUCGUCUGUACUUUGGACCUCGCGUUGAAGAGCAUAUAGGUGCAGCCUGGAAUGAGGAAGACCUGGAGUAUGAAUUCUGCAACUUGGUCAGCGAGGUUUCAUUGGAUGCGCAGCAUAUCCGGAACUUCAUAAUGAAUCACUCUAUGAGGUUGUCUAUGUUCAACGAGUGUAGCUAGCUGAAACUUCUUGCUAUUGCUGAAACAAGAUCUGCCUCUUAGAUUGGUACGCUGAAAAGGUUCCAUGAGAUCAAAGAAGCUCUUUGUUGGUUGUGAGCACCAAGUGGUCUGAUUAUAGAGAUGACAAUCAAGGUAGAGAACAGUUCGUGAAAGAGAAGGUUCUUAAUGAUUUGUGGUGGGAUAAAGUGAAGUAUAUUAUUGAUUUCAGCAACCCCGUCUAUUCUAUGAUACGUACAGCUGAUACGGAUGGGAAUUCAUGGUAACUCUGCCCUAGAGCUAGAAAAAUUGGCACUAAAAUUGCUUGGCCAGCCAUCGUCUUCUUGUGCUGAAAGAAAUUGGAGCACGUACGGUCCCAUACAUAGUACAGCAAGAAACAGGUCCUCUAUUCUACUUAAGUUAUUAGUUUCUUGCUUUUACCACCUACUUGGAAGAUCAGGAACUGGAGUUCCAUUUAAUUUCUUGUAAGAUGAACCCUGAACGUGCUGAAGAUUUUAUCUUUGUGCAUUAAAACUUGUCUUAUUUAAAGGAAAUCUGCAGAGUAUUCAAGUGGCCUAACACGAUUUUGGAACAUUGGAGGAGACACCCACGAUAUAUUUGAUGUUGGUGCAUUUUUUUUUCAACAAGUUGUGCUCUCACUAGAUGAACCAGAGCUAUAGGCACUGCUAGAUGAUCUUGAAGCCUUGGAGAUGGAGAAUGAAGCUCACUAGAUGAACCAGAGCUAGAGGCCGUGCUAGAUGAUCUUGAAGACUUGGAGGAAGCUAGGUGGAGAAGAGUGGGGCUGCACUGCUGCAGUUGACAAGCUUAUUUUUGGCAAGCAACCAUGUCACGGUUCUCCUGUGCCCCUAUAUAAUAAUUCUCAUUCUUGUGAAAAAAUCAGUAAUUUGUAUAUUUAUUAAUGUUCAUUCUAUAUACACAAAAGUAUCCCCAUAUCCAUGUUUUCGGAAAAUCACCGUAUAGCGGUAUCCGUAUCCGGGCAACAUAGCUUCCAAGUUCACAUUAUAUGCAUGGAGUGUUCUAGUCAACUGAAAACAAUACAGAGGUGCAGGAGGGUGUCCUAGCCGAUAGUACAAUUUUAUUUCCUUUUCUCAUUUUACAUUGAAAUCUCUAUUUAUAAAAUUAUCCUGCAGGUCAGCAUGUCGCAUGAUAGCGUUCUCUCUUCAUCACCUGAAAAUAUGUAAGACUAGAGAAGGUAUGCUCAAUAUCAUUGUUGAAGAUCCUUUCCACAUUGUUUGCUUUGAUUUUUGGUGAUAGAUCUAUUAGUGUCAUAGACAGUUGGACUUCGAAACAAACUAGGAAGCCUCUGCCUUAGAUUUUCAACACGCAAAAGCAAUUGAGUGUCCCACAAACCACCCUGUUUUCUUCAAGUCAUCUAGACCGUCCAUACACAUUCAAGUCAGCCAGAGUCCACGGACUAGAUGGGCGAGCAGAAUUAGUUCAGGACCCCACAUGUUUCUAAGUAGCUGUCACUGUAGCUUCUGUGCCCCUCCUACGAUUCUCUCUCCAUUGCGCUUUGACGACAACACUUUCCCUUAAAUCUUAUGAAGACACCUUUCCCAAGUUAGAACACCAAAAGUUAAUGUUCAGCCAAGCACUGCGUGAGCUGGAAAGGGUCAAUUUUUCAAGAGAUGAAAUGAAGAAUAUCAUGAAAGUGUAUGGUAAAUUCCUAUCAGAUUCAGGAAAUUUUGUCUACAAGAAUGUGAGUAACGACGACAACAUUAAGAUGGGAUAUGUGUACUUUGAAGCAGGAUAAAAUCAAAAUGGAAACAAUGGUAGAUAAGAUCAUACAAUAUUAAAAAAAACACUUUUUUUGUGGCUUAGAUUUCAUAAAAAAUAGAUGACAUAGUGAAUAAGAUUGGAAGUUAUGGUUUCCUGACAGACUCUGCAGAUAUAUAGGCUGUGUGACUCUCAAGCAGUAUAAAAUCGAAAUGGAGGCAGUGGUAGAUAAGAUUAUAAAAUAUUUUUAGGAAAACACUUCUCUGUGGCUUAUAUUUCAGAGAAAAUAGAUAAUAUAGUAAAUAAGAGUGGAAGUUAUGGUUUCCUGACAGACUGCAAAGAUAUAUAGGCUGUGUCCUUCCAGACACCUUGCACUAAACUAGGAGUCCAGAAACCAGAACAUGAUCUGAUGAGAGUGCAGAUGCACCAAAAGCUUGCAUCAUAUCAAAAGGAAUAUGGCAGCAUCCAAAACAUAUGAAUUAACCCUCCAUAUUGAAAUUACAGAAAGCACUGGAGUUAAUAAGGUAAACUGGUUCAUAGGACAUAUGCACUUGCAAUAGCUAGACAAUAGAAAUGCUGAGUUCACAACAGGAGGCGUUUAACAGUUUAUAGCACAUAGUCUCCUGCUAUCUUAUUUAAUUUCCUGUCCUUCAUUGCGUUCGUCACUGUCCCAUUGUUUUCCUUAUUGGGCUCCAAGCUCACUGCAAAGCAGAAGAAUUUUCUUUUAGUAAAACUAGAUUGACAAGCAGAAGAAUUUUCUUUAAGUGAAACUAGACUCAGAAUAGAAAUGUGAAGCAUGGUUAAUUCACAUCCUGGAGUUUUAACUAGCAAUAUUUGUCGCUGUAAAUUCUGUACUACCAACUGUAAUGCAUGUCGCAUUCUAUCAACAGGCCUUAGGAAAUUACUAUAUUUUUUUUUGUCUUGCUUGAUUAUGGAUGCAUAAGUACACAAUUCUUCAUUGUCAUGCUAUACACGCUAUACAGGUUAUUCUUGAUUGUCAACCCAGCUUGAUUCUAGUACGGCUCUAUGAAAUGUGGGUUUCAGGUAAACCAAGCUUGAUAAAGGAAUAUAGCAGCUAAUCGAGAUGCAAAUGGGGCAGUGUUAUUACCCUGCAAUUAGAAGUUAGGCCAAGCUUUUAACAUUGGGAACGAACAUUUCACUAUAUCCUUGAGACUGAAAUACUGUAAUUGUUUGCAGGAUCAGUAUUCACAGGUAAACAAAGAUUUACAAAGGAAUAUAGCUGCUAAUCGAGAUGCAAAUGGAGCAAUGAGGAUGGAGAUAGCUAUUAUGGAGACAGGAUUUAAUAUGCCUCAUUUAUUAUCAGAUUGCUCUGUGUAUUUCAAACAUUAAUCUGCCACCUUUACUAAUGAUAUAUAAUGGUCGUUUUAGCCCCUGCA